AAAUGUGACCUCAACAACUGUUCUUGAACAUUUCUGGAAAACCCAGAAAGUUCUUGAGCAGUUCGGUCAAUGGUAGUUUGACCAUAAAUAACUUCUAAUCUACAACAGAUAUGACCAUGAUUCCUUUUGCAGAAUAAAGACAACAUACCAGGCUACACAUAGCAAGCUUUAAACAUCAAAAACGCUUAACAGGAUGGGAUCUACAGCCUCUGACAUUCGUUGUCAGAACACAAAAAUUAAAAUUUCCAGAUUUUGAAGAUCUUCAAAUCCGAGCUUCUGAAUGUUAUGGAAUCAACA
rnacentral:lncRNA from 1 species